GAUGAACGCUAGCUACAGGCUUAACACAUGCAAGUCGAGGGACCGGCGCACGGGUGAGUACCACGUAUCCAACCUGCCCUUUACUCGGGGAUAGCCUUUCGAAAGAAAGAUUAAUACCCGAUAUAAAGGAUGGGGAUGCGUUCAAUUAGGUUGUUGGUGCGGUAACGGCUCACCAAGCCUUCUAUGGAUAGGGGUUCUGAGAGGAAGGACACCCACAUUGGAACUGGGACAAGGUCCAAACUCGUACGAGAGGCAGGAGUGAGGAAUAUUGGGCAAUGGGCGCUAGCCUGAACCAGCCAGGUAGCGUUAAGGAUGAAGGCUUAUGGGUCGUAAACUUCUUUUAUAUAAGAAUAGGUAUUAUAUGAAUAAGGAUCGGCUAACUCCGUGCCAGCAGCCGCGGUAAUUC
rnacentral:rRNA from 1 species